rnacentral:rRNA from 1 species
AUACGUAGGUGACAAGCGUUGUCCGGAAUGAUUGGGCGUAAAGGGCGCGUAGGCGGCCCGGUAAGUCUGAAGUGAAAGUCCUGCUUUUAAGGUGGGAAUUGCUUUGGAUACUGUCGGGCUUGAGUGCAGGAGAGGUAAGUGGAAUUCCCAGUGUAGCGGUGAAAUGCGUAGAGAUUGGGAGGAACACCAGUGGCGAAGGCGACUUACUGGACUGUAACUGACGCUGAGGCGCGAAAGUGUGGGGAGCAAACAGGAUUAGAUACCCUGGUAGUCCACACUGUAAACGAUGAAUGCUAGGUGUAGGGGGUAUCGACCCCUUCUGUGCCGCAGUUAACACAAUAAGCAUUCCGCCUGGGGAGUACGGCCGCAAGGUUGAAACUCAAAGGAAUUGACGGGG